AUAAUGAUACUCCUACCUUGAACGCUUCACGGCAUUGGGUAGCUUCUCCAAGUUUGAGUUGAGGUGAAAUUCCUGUGG
rfam:Enterococcus devriesei strain DSM 22802 Scaffold1, whole genome shotgun sequence.